rnacentral:tRNA from 1 species
CGUUGUGAAGCUAUAAGGAAACAGCAUCAGCCUUUUAAGCUGAAUAUAGGUGAUUUCCGCCCACCCCUAACGA